rnacentral:rRNA from 1 species
UUUUUAUAAUUAAUAAAUUAUAAAAAUAUGAUUUGUAAUUAUUUUAUUGGGGUGAUAAUAAAAUUUAUAAAACUUUUAAUUUUUUUAUUCAUAAAUUAAUGUAUUAUAAUUAACUUUAAGUUAAAAAUUAAAAUUAAAA